rnacentral:tRNA from 1 species
GUCAAGUUAGUUUAAAAAAAACAUCAGCCUGUGGAUUUGAAAAUGAAAACUUCUUUCACUUGACC